CCUACGGGAGGCAGCAGUAGGGAAUCUUCCACAAUGGGCGAAAGCCUGAUGGAGCAACGCCGCGUGAGUGAAGAAGGUUUUCGGAUCGUAAAACUCUGUUGUAAGGGAAGAACAAGUACAGUAGUAACUGGCUGUACCUUGACGGUACCUGACCAGAAAGCCACGGCUAACUACGUGCCAGCAGCCGCGGUAAUACGUAGGUGGCAAGCGUUGUCCGGAAUUAUUGGGCGUAAAGCGCGCGCAGGCGGUUCCUUAAGUCUGAUGUGAAAGCCCCCGGCUCAACCGGGGAGGGUCAUUGGAAACUGGGGAACUUGAGUGCAGAAGAGGAAAGCGGAAUUCCACGUGUAGCGGUGAAAUGCGUAGAGAUGUGGAGGAACACCAGUGGCGAAGGCGGCUUUCUGGUCUGUAACUGACGCUGAGGCGCGAAAGCGUGGGGAGCAAACAGGAUUAGAUACCCUGGUAGUCCACGCCGUAAACGAUGAGUGCUAAGUGUUAGGGGGUUUCCGCCCCUUAGUGCUGCAGCUAACGCAUUAAGCACUCCGCCUGGGGAGUACGGCCGCAAGGCUGAAACUCAAAGGAAUUGACGG
rnacentral:rRNA from 1 species